AGCUCCAAUCGCGUAUAUUAAAGUCGUUGCGGUUAAAAAACUCGUAGUUGGAUUUCUGCUGAAGACGACCAGUCCGCCCUCUGAGUGAGCAUCUGGCUCGGCCGUGGUUUCUUCUUGGAUGACGUUACUGCAUUUGACUGUGUGGUGCAGUAUCUAGGACUUUUACUUCGAGGAAAUUAGAGUGUUUCAAGCAGGCACACGCCUUGAACACAUUAGCAUGGAAUUAUAAGAUAGAGCCUUGGUUCUAUUUCGUUGGUUUCGAGAGUUGAGGCAAUGAUUGAUAGAGAUAGUUGGGGCCAUUCGUAUUUAAUUGUCAGUGGUGACAUUCUUGGAUUUGUUACAGACGGACUACUGCGGAAGUAUUUCCCAAGGAUGCUUUCA
rnacentral:rRNA from 1 species